rnacentral:rRNA from 1 species
GACGAACGCUGGCGGCGUGCUUAACACAUGCAAGUCGAACGGAAAGGCCCUGCUUUUGUGGGGUGCUCGAGUGGCGAACGGGUGAGUAACACGUGAGUAACCUGCCCUUGACUUUGGGAUAACUUCAGGAAACUGGGGCUAAUACCGGAUAGGAGCUCCUGCUGCAUGGUGGGGGUUGGAAAGUUUCGGCGGUUGGGGAUGGACUCGCGGCUUAUCAGCUUGUUGGUGGGGUAGUGGCUUACCAAGGCUUUGACGGGUAGCCGGCCUGAGAGGGUGACCGGCCACAUUGGGACUGAGAUACGGCCCAGACUCCUACGGGAGGCAGCAGUGGGGAAUAUUGCACAAUGGGCGGAAGCCUGAUGCAGCAACGCCGCGUGCGGGAUGACGGCCUUCGGGUUGUAAACCGCUUUCGCCUGUGACGAAGCGUGAGUGACGGUAAUGGGUAAAGAAGCACCGGCUAACUACGUGCCAGCAGCCGCGGUGAUACGUAGGGUGCGAGCGUUGUCCGGAUUUAUUGGGCGUAAAGGGCUCGUAGGGUGGUUGAUCGCGUCGGAAGUGUAAUCUUGGGGCUUAACCCUGAGCGUGCUUUCGAUACGGGUUGACUUGAGGAAGGUAGGGGAGAAUGGAAUUCCUGGUGGAGCGGUGGAAUGCGCAGAUAUCAGGAGGAACACCAGUGGCGAAGGCGGUUCUCUGGGCCUUUCCUGACGCUGAGGAGCGAAAGCGUGGGGAGCGAACAGGCUUAGAUACCCUGGUAGUCCACGCUGUAAACGGUGGGUACUAGGUGUGGGGUCCAUUCCACGGGUUCCGUGCCGUAGCUAACGCUUUAAGUACCCCGCCUGGGGAGUACGGCCGCAAGGCUAAAACUCAAAGGAAUUGACGGGGCCCCGCACAAGCGGCGGAGCAUGCGGAUUAAUUCGAUGCAACGCGUAGAACCUUACCUGGGUUUGACAUGGAUCGGGAGUGCUCAGAGAUGGGUGUGCCUCUUUUGGGGUCGGUUCACAGGUGGUGCAUGGCUGUCGUCAGCUCGUGUCGUGAGAUGUUGGGUUAAGUCCCGCAACGAGCGCAACCCUUGUUCACUGUUGCCAGCACGUUAUGGUGGGGACUCAGUGGAGACCGCCGGGGUCAACUCGGAGGAAGGUGGGGAUGACGUCAAGUCAUCAUGCCCCUUAUGUCCAGGGCUUCACGCAUGCUACAAUGGCUGGUACAGAGAGUGGCGAGCCUGUGAGGGUGAGCGAAUCUCGGAAAGCCGGUCUCAGUUCGGAUUGGGGUCUGCAACUCGACCUCAUGAAGUCGGAGUCGCUAGUAAUCGCAGAUCAGCAACGCUGCGGUGAAUACGUUCCCGGG